AACGAAGAAGUAUUUCGAUAUGUAAAGUUCUUUUAUUAAAGAAGAAAAAAUGAUGGAAAAAUCAUUCUGACGGUAUUUAAUGAAUAAGCCCCGGCUAACUAUGUGCCAGCAGCUGCGGUAAUACAUAGGGGGCGAGCGUUAUCCGGAUUUAUUGGGCGUAAAGGGUGCGUAGGCGGUUUAAUAAGUCUGUGGUUUAAACUCAAUGCCCAACAUUGUGACGCCACAGAAACUGUUUAACUAGAGUUGGAUAGAGGCAAGCGGAAUUCCAUGUGUAGCGGUAAAAUGCGUAAAGAUAUGGAGGAACACCAGUAGCGAAGGCGGCUUGCUGGGUCUUAACUGACGCUGAGGCACGAAAGCAUGGGGAGCAAACAGGAUUAGAUACCCUGGUAGUCCAUGCCGUAAACGAUGAGUACUAAGUGUCGGGUUAAACCGGUGCUGAAGUUAACACAUUAAGUACUCCGCCUGAGUAGUACGUACGCAAGUAUGAGACUUAAAGGAAUUGACGGGACUCCGCACAAGCGGUGGAUCAUGUUGUUUAAUUCGAAGAUACACGAAAAGCCUUACCAGGUCUUGACAUACUCUGCAAAACUACAGCAAUAUAGUGGAGGUUAUCAGGGAUACAGGUGGUGCAUGGUUGUCGUCAGCUCGUGUCGUGAGAUGUUGGGUUAAGUCCCGCAACGAGCGCAACCCUUAUUACUAGUUACCAUCAUUUAGUUGGGGACUCUAGUGAGACUGCCAAUGAUAAAUUGGAGGAAGGUGGGGAUUACGUCAAAUCAGCAUGCCCCUUAUGAUCUGGGCUACAAGCGUGAUACAAUGGCUGUUACAAAGAGUCGCUGAAGCGUGAGUUUUUAGCAAAUCUCAAAAAAACAGUCUCAGUUCGGAUUGAAGUCUGCAACUCGACUUCAUGAAGUCGGAAUCGCUAGUAAUCGCGAAUCAGCAUGUCGCGGUGAAUACGUUCUCGGGGUUUGUACACACCGCCCGUCAAACCAUGAAAGUCGGUAAUACCCGAAACCAGCGGCCUAACUUGUAAAAGAGGGAACUGUCUAAGGUAAGAUUGAUGAUUGGGGUUAAGUCGUAACAAGGUAUCCCUACCGGAAGGUGGGGAUGGAUCA
rnacentral:rRNA from 1 species